rnacentral:tRNA from 1 species
GGUUGUAGCUCAGUUGGUAGAGCAUUUGCCUUGCAUGUGUGAGGACAUGGGUUCAAUCCUCAGCACCA